rnacentral:piRNA from 1 species
UUACAUCAAUUGUGACGUCAU